rnacentral:rRNA from 1 species
AGAGUUUGAUCAUGGCUCAGGAUAAACGCUGGCGGCGCACAUAAGACAUGCAAGUCGAACGGAAGUCGUUGUAAUGAAAUGGAAAUGGACAGAGAACUUGUUCGAAGAAAGUUGAAGUAGACUUACAACAAUGGCUUUAGUGGCGGACUGGUGAGUAACGCGUAAGGAACCUGCCUUUUAGAGGGGAAUAACAAUGAGAAAUCAUUGCUAAUACCGCAUAUGCCGAGAGAAUCACAUGGUACAAUCGGGAAAGGAGCAAUUCGCUAAAAGAUGGCCUUGCGUCUGAUUAGAUAGUUGGUGGGGUAACGGCCUACCAAGUCGACGAUCAGUAGCCGGACUGAGAGGUUGAACGGCCACAUUGGGACUGAGAUACGGCCCAGACUCCUACAGGAGGCAGCAGUCGGGAAUAUUGCGCAAUGGAGGAAACUCUGACGCAGUGACGCCGCGUAUAGGAAGAAGGUUUUCGGAUUGUAAACUAUUGUCGUUAGGGAAAGAGAAAGGACAGUACCUAAGGAGGAAGCUCCGGCUAACUACGUGCCAGCAGCCGCGGUAAUACG